AUGUUAGCGGCGGACGGGUGAGUAACACGUGGGUAACCUACCUAUAAGACUGGGAUAACUCCGGGAAACCGGGGCUAAUACCGGAUAAUAUUUUGAACCGCAUGGUUCGAUAGUGAAAGACGGUUUCGGCUGUCACUUAUAGAUGGACCCGCGCCGUAUUAGCUAGUUGGUAAGGUAACGGCUUACCAAGGCGACGAUACGUAGCCGACCUGAGAGGGUGAUCGGCCACACUGGAACUGAGACACGGUCCAGACUCCUACGGGAGGCAGCAGCG
rnacentral:rRNA from 1 species